rnacentral:rRNA from 2 species
GACCGCCUGGGGAGUACGGCCGCAAGGUUAAAACUCAAAUGAAUUGACGGGGGCCCGCACAAGCGGUGGAGCAUGUGGUUUAAUUCGAUGCAACGCGAAGAACCUUACCUACUCUUGACAUCCAGCGAAUCCUUUAGAGAUAGAGGAGUGCCUUCGGGAACGCUGAGACAGGUGCUGCAUGGCUGUCGUCAGCUCGUGUUGUGAAAUGUUGGGUUAAGUCCCGCAACGAGCGCAACCCUUAUCCUUUGUUGCCAGCACGUAAUGGUGGGAACUCAAAGGAGACUGCCGGUGAUAAACCGGAGGAAGGUGGGGAUGACGUCAAGUCAUCAUGGCCCUUACGAGUAGGGCUACACACGUGCUACAAUGGCAGAUACAAAGAGAAGCGACCUCGCGAGAGCAAGCGGAACUCAUAAAGUCUGUCGUAGUCCGGAUUGGAGUCUGCAACUCGACUCCAUGAAGUCGGAAUCGCUAGUAAUCGUAGAUCAGAAUGCUACGGUGAAUACGUUCCCGGGCCUUGUACACACCGCCCGUCACACCAUGGGAGUGGGUUGCAAAAGAAGUAGGUAGCUUAACCUUCGGGAGGGCGCUUACCACUUUGUGAUUCAUGACUGGGGUGAAGUCGUAACAAGGUAACCGUAGGGGAACCUGCGGUUG